AUGAAGAUCACCAAGCCCUCCAAACAGAGAAAUAACAAGUAUGCGAUCAGCAGCUACCUGACCCUGACACCUGAACAGUGGACAUCUCUCAGCAGCUACGGCAGCCAGAUAACGCACAAAGAGACUGCAGGUGGGGACUGGGGAUGGCCAAGGGAGGAGUUUUUGUAUGAGCCUGUGUCAUGGUGUUGGGUAUUCGGCCAAGGGACCAGAUUGACCGUCCUAGGUCAGCCCAAGGCAGCUCCCUCAGUCAAUCUGUUCCCGCCAUCCUCUGAGGAGCUUCAAACCAGCAAAGCCACACUGGUGUGUUUCAUCAAUGACUUCUACCCGGGUGCAAUAACGGUGACCUGGAAGGCAGAUGGCUUCCCCAUCACUCAGGGCGUGGAGACCACGAAGCCCUCCAAACAGAGCAACAAUAGGUAUGCGACCAGCAGCUACCUGACCUUGUCACCUGAACAGUGGAAGGCUAAACAAAGUGUCAGCUGUCAAGUCACGCAUGAAGGAAGCACCGUGGAGAAGACAGUGCUCCCUGCACAGUGUUCUUAA